UGGGUAGUCCGCACGAGCGCACCCUUAUUCUUAUUUGCCAGCACGUUAUGGUGGGGACUCUAAGGAUACCGCCUGGGACAACCAGGAGGAAGGUGGGGAUGAUGUCAAGUCAUUAUGUCCCUUAUGUCCAGGGCUACACACGUGUUACAAUGGUCGGUACAAAGGGUCGCCAACCCGCGAGGGGGAGCUAAUCCCAAAAAACCGACCCCAGUCCAGAUUGGAGUCUGCAACUCGACUCCAUGAAGGGGGAAUCGCUAGUAAUCGUGGAUCAGAACGCCACGGUGAAUACGUUCCCGGGCCUUGUACACACCGCCCGUCACGCCAUGGAAGUGAGCAGUACCCGAAGUCGGUGGNCUAACCUUCGGGAGGGAGCCGACUAAGGUAUGGNUGAUGACUGGGGCGAAGUCGUAACAAGGUAGCCGUACCGGAACGUGCGGCUGGAUCACCUCCUUUCU
rnacentral:rRNA from 1 species